GGCAGAGGCACCACGCGUCCCCUAACGCCCCCGGGGCACCGCUGUGGGCAGAGAUCUGCUGGGUGCGGGAGGUUUGGGGAGUCCCCAGCAGUUUGCGAUAGUCCCCGAAAACCUUUUCGCUGGCAGCCCGUGAGUGCUGGACUCGGGUGCUCUCAAUGCUGGCAGCUCAGCGCGUUUCCAAAAUACCCCUCUGCUCGCCCCGAGGGCCCCGGAGUGGCUUUGGGACACCCACUGCCUCCCCAAAAUGCCCUCCUUUCCCGACGGAGCGGCCCUACAGGGUCUCUCCAGCACCCCACCUACGUUUUAUGUCCCUCUGGUGUCGUGCCACGACCACGGUGCGACGACAGUCAGUGCCCAGCGUGGCGGGGUCACCCCGGCCACCUGCGGCCGCGCACCGGGGGGACGCGAGCAGCCCCCGCGCACCGGGACCGCGCCGGGCAGAGGCGGCCACCCUGCUUUUUUCCUCCUUCUCCAUCACCUCCCGCAGCCGCCGGGCUGGGCUGUCGGGAAGAUGCUUCGCCACCGCGUCAAGGAGGGGGACAGGGACAGAGCGCUGGGAGAGGGCUGGUGGCAGGGGGAAAAGGGGGGAAGAAAGGAGAAAAAAGGGAAAAAAGGGGAAAAAGGGGGAAAAGGGGGAAAAAGGGAAAAAGGGGAAAAAAAGCCUGUUUCUGGGGAUUGGCCCCGCUCUGGAUCCCGGGCUGCGUGACGUGCAGCAGGACACGGAGCGCGCUGCAAGACGUGAAUCAGCUCAGGAGUGUGCGGUGACAGGGGCCACUCGAAGUCGUUUGCUCAACGACCUUGAACGCUUCUUCAGUUCAAAGACCGACCCGAAGGCUCGCCACCCGCGGGGCCGCGGGGCAGAGAGCCCGAUGCCAGCGGCGUGGCCAGGAAAUCCCCCGGAGCUUUGUCCCGGGGGCUCCGGAGUCCGGGUGCGCCCCGUCGGGGCACGGAGCCGGGCGUCUCCCGCGGGGUCCCAGCCUCCCUCCGCGGGGUCGAGGCUGCCUCCAGGCGAGCACGAAGGCUGCCCACUGCCCGGCCCCUCUCUCGGGGGAUGCCCCGGCUUCUCGGGGAGGUUUCCUCCCUCCCGGCCCGGUUUUUUAGCGCGGCCCGUCGGACGGCAGGGCUUUCCAAGAAGUCGCCGUGCAAAGCUCUUUGUUCCCC
rnacentral:lncRNA from 1 species